rnacentral:tRNA from 1 species
GCCCUGGUGGCACAAUGGUUAAGCGUUCGGCUGCUAAUAGAAAGGUCGUAGGUUUGAACCUACCCAGUGGG